GGGCGGUAUAGACCAGCUCGUAGAUCCAGCCGGGCUGGAAGCCCGCCGGCAGGUGGAUGUUGGCGUCGGAAGGGAUCGCCGCCUGUUCGGCCCCC
rnacentral:tRNA from 1 species